UACGUAGGCAGCAAGCGUUGUUCGGAGUUACUGGGCGUAAAAGGGUGCGUAGGCGGCCCUGUAAGUAUGGUGUGAAAUCUCCCGGCUUAACUGGGAGGGUGCGCUAUAGACUGCGGGGGCUCGAGUGUGGGGAGAGGAAAAGUGGGAAUUCCUGGUGUAGCGGUGAAAAUGCGUAGAUAUCAGGAGGAACACCGGUGGUGUAAACGCUUUCUGGACCAUAAACUGACGCUGAGGGCACGAAAAGCGUGGGGUAGCAAAACAGG
rnacentral:rRNA from 1 species